ensembl:lncRNA
CCAGUUCCAUCCCGUCCCAAUCCCAUUUCCAUCCCAUCCUAUCCCAAUCCCAUGGAUUCUAUCCUAACCCCACGAAUCCCAUGGAUCCCAUGGAUCCCAUCCCAAUCCCAUCCCAACCCCAUGGAUCCCAUCCAAUCCCAGUCCCGUGGAUUCCAUCCCAAUCUAAUCCCAUCCCAACCCCAUUUCCAUCCCAUCCCAUCCUAUCCCAAUCCCAUGGAUUCCAUCCCAAUUCCAUCCCAACCCCAUGGAUCCCACGGAUCCCAUCCCAAUCCCGUGGAUCCAAUCCCAACCCCACAGAUCUCAUCCCAAUCCCACGGAUCCCACGGAUCCCAUCCCAACCCUAUGGAUCCCAUGGAUCCCAUCCCAAUCCAACGGAUCCUAUCCCAAUCCCACUGAUCCAAUCCCAACCCCACGGAUCUCAUGGAUCCAAUCCCAUGGAUCCAAUCCCACAGAUCCCACGGAUCCCAUCCCAACCCCAUGGAUCCCAUCCCAACCCCAUGGAUCCCACGGAUCCCACAGAUCCCAUCCCAAUCCCACGGAUCCCAUCCCAACCCUAUGGAUCCCAUGGAUCCCAUCCCAACCCUAUGGAUCCCAUGGAUCCAAUCCCAACCCUAUGGAUCCCAUGGAUCCAAUCCCAACCCCACGGAUCCCAUCCCAACCCCACGGAUCCCAUCCCAAUCCCACGGAUCCCAUGGAUCCCAUCCCAACCCCAUGGAUCCCACGGAUCCCACGGAUCCCAUCCCCGUUCCCGCAGGGAAGAAGAACCUGGAGGAGGUCCAGCAGAUGCUGCAGGUGGUGGAGCAGCUCAUGGCCACCCUCAAGAGCCCCAGCGGAUAACAUCCAGGAAAACCCCCGGGAAAAGCAGGAGCCGCCCAGGAAGUGCCUCCCGCAGCACGGAUGGCAGAGCCCGCCCAGGGCCACCCUCCCGCUGUCCCCGUGUCCCCAAAGCCACCCCGCCUGUCCCCUCGGGUGUACCCCCGCCUCCCGGCUGGAGCGGGACAACAGCCGGCCCCGAAUUCCGGGACAACUCGCCAGAAUGUGUGCGUGGAAAUCCAUGGGAAAAGCGGGAUGGGGAGCGGGAAUUCCAUCCCGAGGGGCUGGAAACGCCCGAGGAGGAGGAGGAGGAGGAGGGACAGGGAUGUCCUUGUCCCCAGAGGAAGAGGGACCGCGCUGUCCUUGUCCCCCCCCGCCCCGAAUUUCGGGACAACCCGCCGCUCGUGUGGACGGAAAUCCAUGGAAAAAUCGGGAUGGGGAGCGGGAAUUCCAUCCCGAGGGGUUGGAAUCCAUCACAGCCUCACACAGAGGGGCUGGAAACACCCGAGGAGGAGGGACAGGGAUGUCCUUGUCCCCAGAGGAAGAGAGACCGCGAUGUCCUUGUCCCCCCGGCCCCCCCGGAGCGGGGCAGGGGUUUAUUCCCAGGAUUUAUUCCCGGGAUUUAUUCCCGGGAUUUAUUCACGAGAUUUAUUCCCGAGAUUUAUUACCGGGAUUUAUUCCCAGGAUUUAUUCCCGGGAUUUAUUCCCAGGAUUUAUUCCCGAGGUUUAUUCCCAGGAUUCAUUCCCAGGAUUUAUUCCCGAGGUUUAUUCCCAGGAUUCAUUCCCGGGAUUUAUUCCCAGGAUUCAUUCCCAGGAUUUAUUUCUGGGAUUUAUUCCCAGGAUUUAUUCCCAGGAUUUAUUCCCAGGAUUUAUUCCCAGGAUUUAUUCCCAGGAUUCAUUCCCAGGAUUUAUUUCUGGGAUUUAUUCCCGGGAUUUAUUCCCAGGAUUUAUUCCCGAGGUUUAUUCCCAGGAUUCAUUCCCAGGAUUCAUUCCCAGGAUUUAUUCCCAGGAUUCAUUCCCGGGAUUUCCAGGCCGCGUUUCCUGUGGAAAAUCCUUUUCCUGCCCGGCCGGUGCCAGGCGCCACCGAG